ACCAACCCGAUGCAAACUGCGAAUACCGGAGAAUGUUAUCACGGGAGACACACGGCGGGUGCUAACGUCCGUCGUGAAGAGGGAAACAACCCAGACCGCCAGCUAAGGUCCCAAAGUCAUGGUUAAGUGGGAAACGAUGUGGGAAGGCCCAGACAGCCAGGAUGUUGGCUUAGAAGCAGCCAUCAUUUAAAGAAAGCGUAAUAGCUCACUGGUCGAGUCGGCCUGCGCGGAAGAUGUAACGGGGCUAAACCAUGCACCGAAGCUGCGGCAGCGACGCUUAUGCGUUGUUGGGUAGGGGAGCGUUCUGUAAGCCUGCGAAGGUGGCCUGUGAGGGUUGCUGGAGGUAUCAGAAGUGCGAAUGCUGACAUAAGUAACGAUAAAGCGGGUGAAAAGCCCGCUCGCCGGAAGACCAAGGGUUCCUGUCCAACGUUAAUCGGGGCAGGGUGAGUCGACCCCUAAGGCGAGGCCGAAAGGCGUAGUCGAUGGGAAACGGGUUAAUAUUCCCGUACUUGGUGUUACUGCGAAGGGGGGACGGAGAAGGCUAUGUUGGCCGGGCGACGGUUGUCCCGGUUUAAGCGUGUAGGCUGGUUUUCCAGGCAAAUCCGGAAAAUCAAGGCUGAGGCGUGAUGACGAGGCACUACGGUGCUGAAGCAACAAAUGCCCUGCUUCCAGGAAAAGCCUCUAAGCAUCAGGUAACAUCAAAUCGUACCCCAAACCGACACAGGUGGUCAGGUAGAGAAUACCAAGGCGCUUGAGAGAACUCGGGUGAAGGAACUAGGCAAAAUGGUGCCGUAACUUCGGGAGAAGGCACGCUGACACGUAGGUGAAGUGAUUUACUCACGGAGCUGAAGUCAGUCGAAGAUACCAGCUGGCUGCAACUGUUUAUUAAAAACACAGCACUGUGCAAACACGAAAGUGGACGUAUACGGUGUGACGCCUGCCCGGUGCCGGAAGGUUAAUUGAUGGGGUCAGCGCAAGCGAAGCUCCUGAUCGAAGCCCCGGUAAACGGCGGCCGUAACUAUAACGGUCCUAAGGUAGCGAAAUUCCUUGUCGGGUAAGUUCCGACCUGCACGAAUGGCGUAAUGAUGGCCAGGCUGUCUCCACCCGAGACUCAGUGAAAUUGAACUCGCUGUGAAGAUGCAGUGUACCCGCGGCAAGACGGAAAGACCCCGUGAACCUUUACUAUAGCUUGACACUGAACAUUGAGCCUUGAUGUGUAGGAUAGGUGGGAGGCUUUGAAGUGUGGACGCCAGUCUGCAUGGAGCCGACCUUGAAAUACCACCCUUUAAUGUUUGAUGUUCUAACGUGGACCCGUUACCCGGGUUGCGGACAGUGUCUGGUGGGUAGUUUGACUGGGGCGGUCUCCUCCUAAAGAGUAACGGAGGAGCACGAAGGUUGGCUAAUCCUGGUCGGACAUCAGGAGGUUAGUGCAAUGGCAUAAGCCAGCUUGACUGCGAGCGUGACGGCGCGAGCAGGUGCGAAAGCAGGUCAUAGUGAUCCGGUGGUUCUGAAUGGAAGGGCCAUCGCUCAACGGAUAAAAGGUACUCCGGGGAUAACAGGCUGAUACCGCCCAAGAGUUCAUAUCGACGGCGGUGUUUGGCACCUCGAUGUCGGCUCAUCACAUCCUGGGGCUGAAGUAGGUCCCAAGGGUAUGGCUGUUCGCCAUUUAAAGUGGUACGCGAGCUGGGUUUAGAACGUCGUGAGACAGUUCGGUCCCUAUCUGCCGUGGGCGCUGGAGAACUGAGGGGGGCUGCUCCUAGUACGAGAGGACCGGAGUGGACGCAUCACUGGUGUUCGGGUUGUCAUGCCAAUGGCACUGCCCGGUAGCUAAAUGCGGAAGAGAUAAGUGCUGAAAGCAUCUAAGCACGAAACUUGCCCCGAG
rnacentral:rRNA from 1 species